UGAGCCCAGAGCUGCAAGGCACUUGAUGGGAAAGCUGGUGAAACGGGAUGCUCUCUGAAAGGUCUGUUGGUGCAGAAAACCUAACGGAAGAGUGCUGCCCCUUUUAUUGCUGGAAAAUAAAGGGCGAGGUGGGUGACAUGCCUCAUACCCUGCCGUCCCCUUAGCCCGAGGAGCUGAAGGGACUCCGUGCAUUGAGAGGCCCCGGCAGGACGUCCCUCCAGCGGCAUCUCCACGUGCGAGGACCAGGCUGAGGACUGGGCGGCCGCUGCCCGCGUCCUGCUCGCCUGCCGGCUCCUCUGCUGCGCCCCGCGCCCGCCGUCCUCCGAAAGCAAAGUCAGUGAGUCAGCAAAACAAGGCUGACUCAGCAGUUCCCCGCUGGAGAACGGUAUCAAUGACUCGGCAUUUACGAGGCAGAGGUACAAGCGAGCAGCCCUGAAGUACCCGACUGCUGUCUUCCAAACGCAACCUCCUUCCUAGGGGUGGUGGGGAUUUCAGCUUGCUGCUUCUCCCAGCGAGGCAGGUUUGUCUAGGGGGAACACAAGGCCAUGCGCCCUGCCAGCUCCGCUUACAUGCUCCUUCUAGCGCAUCAAAGGGUCAAGUAUGUUAUGUUUUGCGCAUACCGUUAAUGAUUAACUGCUGUCUGUAGAGGAACUAGUUUUUCUCUUGGCUUUAAAAAAGCUCUUGAAAGAUGAAACGGCAAACCAGCCUUGGGUUGGCUCCAGCAGGUAUUUACAGCUACUGUAUUGAUGGUACAGAAGAUUAGCAGGCAUCUGGAAUCUCAGCUUCAACCUGAACAUCCUCAAUCUGCUUUCCCUGGCUACCCUGACCGGUGCUGGCUGCUGGGACAGCUUGGAUCAUGCUCCACGUGGUCAAUGGAGAGACCCCACAUUGGUUGCACGUUGGUCUUCUGCCCCAUGGCUGUAUCCUUUGUCUCUACACACAAGUUGUUCCACAUGUGGAGAUAAAAGGUGAGGGAGGACUGUUUCUCUACGAAGAUGUUGCUUUGGGGGCAUGAUGCUCUGUAAAAAAGUAAAAAAGUUGGGAAUAUUUACUCCCACCACCACUGCCUUCUCUUUUUCAUGCCCUGAUGGGAGUGUAGGAGUGGCUGUGGACCUUCUGCUGCUGUCUCCAGAGAGAUGGAUGCUCGCACUCACUUUCUAGCAAGAUUUUUCCCAAUGCUAACACAGAUUUCUCCUUCCUCUCUCCUCCUGCACCCCAAGGACAACCCUGCAGGUGACCAGAGGAGGCUUCUGCCAUGCAAGCCAGAAGGCAUCUGGGGACAGAGCUAGGAGCCAAAGCCAGGCUGGGCGUGUGGCUGCUCUGGGUGUGACAUGUGGAGUUCGCUCCUCACGGGUUCCUGUGCCUGGGUCUUAUGGCAAAAUCAAAAUUAAGCAAUUGCAUUUUCUGUUUUGUGUGUGUUUAGAUUGUUAAAAGGCAUGAGAGCUUUCUGGCUUCAAAGUGAGAAGCAGUAAAUACACGGGUACCAGAAGUGGCUUUUGAGUGUUUCUUAUUGCCUGCGUUUCGGAGCAGAAUAUUUUAGCUCUCCUAAGGAGACACUGCCAGCUUUUGCUAUAAAGGGUACACAAGCUACCCGGGGCUCUGCUCCAUGGACCUUUCAUUGACUUUGCCCUGUACAUAUGUGACCAUUAUUUCCAUAAUGUACAAGUAAAAGCACAUCGGUAGCGCGGGUGUUUCCAGUAAUUAAUGCCUCAAAGGUUAGGCAUGGCUCUCUUGUUGAGGUAUCAUGGUGCUCUAGCAAGGAUCGCUUUGCUGCUGUGUCUUGUUGUGCUAAAAGCAGCACAGUAUUUUGCUGUUCUAAUAUU
rnacentral:lncRNA from 1 species